GACGAACGCUGGCGGCGUGCUUAACACAUGCAAGUCGAGCGGUAAGGCCCUUUCGGGGGUACACGAGCGGCGAACGGGUGAGUAACACGUGGGUGACCUGCCCUUAGCUCUGGGAUAAGCCUGGGAAACUGGGUCUAAUACCGGAUAUGACCUCAUGACGCAUGUUGUGGGGUGGAAAGCCUUGUGCGGCUAGGGAUGGGCCCGCGGCCUAUCAGCUUGUUGGUGGGGUGAUGGCCUACCAAGGCGA
rnacentral:rRNA from 1 species